AUUGACAAGAAUUCACUGUGAGCUUCACAUCUCAUUACAGCUAAUGGACCAAUCAAAUCAGUCCACAGCUUCAAAACAUCCAAUCAGGCGUGAGUCUGGACCUGCUUUUCUACUGAACUCACAAGUUCAUUACCUCACUAUCACUUUGUCUAAACAGGAACGAUGAUCACACUCUUUGUCGUGCUUUACUCUCUUUUUUCUCUCUGCACAGCUGUAAAAACUUCUGACAUCAAGGAGCUUCAUGUGAAAACAGUAAAGCGUGGAGAAAAUGUAACUAUGGAGUGUAACAUGAGCAUGGGCAAAGACAAAGAUAAGUUAGCUUGGUACAGACAGAGUUUUGGAAAAGUGCCUCAGUAUUUUGUAAGAUAUUACGGGACUAAUAGCUACAACUUUGAUGAUGAAUUUGAAGAUAGCCGCUUCAGUAUGACUGUAAAUGACCAGAAGUUUGAUCUCAACAUUAUCGGAGCGAGAGAAGAUGAUGGAGGAGAAUAUUUCUGUGGAGAAGUGGAGGGAAAUACAAUAAAGUUCACAUCUGGAACACGUCUGCAAUUUGAAGGGUCCAAUGAGGGUUCAAAGAGCAGUGAUGGAAAAGGAGACAACUUUUGGAUUAUUGUCUUAACGACCUCCAUUAUAAUAUCUCUUAUUGUAAUCGUGUUUCUGCUUGGAGUUUUAUAUAAAAAUCAGAGAAAAGGUGCUUCAUCAAGAAACCAUCAAACUCCCACCAAUCAGGCUGAUGAUGAAGAUGUCUUGAACUAUGCAGCUGUGAGUUUUGCUAAGAAACCUUCAUCCUCCAGAACAUCCAGAGACAAGAGCCAUGAAGACGUUUAUGCACAAGUUAAAAUAAAAUAGAUAAAGACAAAUGACUUCAGACUUGAAACACAACCAAAAUGUAAGUGUUAAUGCUGUUUCCAUGGUGACUCCUAACAUCAUUAAUCUACUGAUUUGCUUCACUUGAUGGAUGAAGCUUUAAAAAAUAUUUCUGAUCAAAAUCCUACAUCCUGCUGUUUUUUUCUUUCUUGAAUGAAAGUCUUAUAUUUGGGAUUUUUUUUCUCAGCAUUUUCUCUUGCACAUGAUUUCUAGAAUGUAAAAGAACAUUUUGUUUGAUUCUGAAGGUGAAAGUAUUAAAGAACGGCUCAUGGUUCACAUCUUGCUUUAACUUUUGUUUUUAAUUUAUUUUGCUUUGAAACAUAGGAGUUUUAUAAAGAGGAUAAAUCUGGUGAAUAUCGUAAUUAAUGUAGAUUAUCUGAACAUUUAGUAGUCAGUACAUCUGUAAAUGUAAAACUUUUAUACAUUUGAACAAUUUUCCAGAAAUACUGAGGACCUUUAAGAGGGCUGAGUAUAAAGACGAGUGUUUACUGCAUUACUGAUGAGAUUCCACUGUUUAACCUGAAAUUAAUCUCCAGGCAAUAAAUAUUCAAUUUCAUUAGAAAUGUAUAUUGAUGACUGAUGAAGUGUCGAGGUUUUCCUUAUCUUAAUGUUUUUACACAAUUUACAUUGUGCCUCCUUAAUAAAUUCCACAAAUGCCAUAUUACACUGUGUGUGUCAUCAUUUUGUUAAAGUCCAUUAUCGAUGUACCUAAUAGUCCUCCCUGAUUAUAUUCAGACAUUUAUGUGAGUGAUGUUCAUGAGCAUAGAUUGGAUUUAUUUUUUUCACAUUUAUUAAAAUUUCUGUGUAGUUUAUAAUUAAUAAACACAUCUUUCAGUUCAGUCCACUGUUGAGUU